AAAGUGGCGAAGGCCCACCCAAAAUUCCGAGUGUUUGAAAGUGGCGGAGGUUGGAAGAGUUUCCAUUUCUGGAGAAACGAAGCUUUUCGGAAUUUGAGAUUCUGGCUUCAGUUUUCGGAAAGAAAAGCAAAUGCACCGAACGAAACCAAGCACUGAAGAGUUUGAGCUCUCAGCUCUCCACAUUCAACUACAGAGGCCUAUGAUCCAUUGGAUCCCAAUGGAAAAAUUACUAUUCGUUGGGAUAUAAUGAAUUGGGCGCCAGAUGGAUACGAGGCAACCAUCACAAUGUUUAACUUCCAGAAAUAUUGGCAUAUCGAACAGCCAGGUUGGACAUUAGGAUGGACCUGG